CUACGUGCCAGCAGCCGCGGUAAUACGUAGGUGGCAAGCGUUGUCCGGAAUUAUUGGGCGUAAAGCGCGCGCAGGCGGAUUGGUCAGUCUGUCUUAAAAGUUCGGGGCUUAACCCCGUGAUGGGAUGGAAACUGCCAAUCUAGAGUAUCGGAGAGGAAAGUGGAAUUCCUAGUGUAGCGGUGAAAUGCGUAGAUAUUAGGAAGAACACCAGUGGCGAAGGCGACUUUCUGGACGAAAACUGUCGCUGAGGCGCGAAAGCCAGGGGAGCGAACGGGAUUAGAUACCCCGGUAGUCCUGGCCGUAAACGAUGGGUACUAGGUGUAGGAGGUAUCGACCCCUUCUGUGCCGGAGUUAACGCAAUAAGUACCCCGCCUGGGGAGUACGACCGCAAGGUUGAAACUCAAAGGAAUUGACGGGGGCCCGCACAAGCGGUGGAGUAUGUGGUUUAAUUCGACGCAACGCGAAGAACCUUACCAGGUCUUGACAU
rnacentral:rRNA from 1 species